ensembl:lncRNA novel transcript
GAGGGCACAGCACAAUUUUGAGAGCCAAACAAAGGCGGGGCACAGAGCUGUUGCCUCGAGAUGUGUGGCCUCAGAAGGUCUUGUCGAGGCGAGUGAUGAAAGGGAGGAGGUUCCCGAGGAUACUGGAGCCGGAAGACGCGGCGAGGGUCCGGGAUUCAAGGAGAUUCAAAACCCGUGUCACUGCUGCCAUCUUCCUAGAAUCCCUUUAAAUCCUCAUGGAUUUGCUGACAUUGGGAGCAUCCUGAAAGAGUCCCCAUGCUAGGGUGGCUGCAGUAACAGGUACAAUGAGAAAUGAUGGUUCUCCCCACUCCAGAAAAAAUCAAAUCAGAUUGUGAAUUUAUUCCCUGACAUUAACACACGGCAUUACAGGAGCAUGUACAUCACAUGGUCAAUUUAUUGGCAUGAGGAUUAUGUCAUCGGGGAAUAAAUGGGAAAUUCUCAAGGUGGCCCAGGCCUGUAGGCUUCCAGUGAGAAAACUGGAGACCACACUCACCCGUCCCACUGCCGUUUCUUUGGGGCUGCCUGUGAUACUGGGUUAUUCCCCUUGCCGAGUUCCACUGUGCUUACCCUGUUGGAAUAUGAUGGUGGACUUGCCAGAGGAGAUGACCAUGAUUUUCAGGAACAGCAGCCCCUCCUUCCUGGUUGAGGCAGCCAGCAGGCACUCCUAUCCAUGAGCCACAGCUCAGCUAAGGCAAUCCAGUCCAGCUGCAUGCCCUCUCUCUGCUUCUGGGGAGGUAGGAAGGACCAGGGGCAUUCAUGCUUGUUUCUAGGGGGCCCUAACUGGAUCUCUGGAUCAAGACCUACUCAGGGGAGAAAGACUACUCUGGGUUCCAUGUUAGGACUGACGGGUGCAUCUUAACUGAGAUGCAGACAGUGGACAAUUCGAACUCUGACCUGAGAGCAAGCCCCAGCCUUGGUGCUCAUAAAUGCUCCGCUUGGUCCUUCACAUUUGUGUUCCACACAGGAGAAGCCAAGUUGUGAGCAGUGCACCUUCACAAGCAAAGCCUCGACUGAAAUCUUCUCUAACAAUUGGCUGGUCACUCCUGAGCGUAAUCUACCCCUUCAGAACACUGGGGAUGAAUUUAGAGACAUCGAAGCCUCCUGAUGAGAAAUACGUGUCCACUCACCGGGAGAACUGAAAUACCAGGAGAUUUCUACACAAAUCUCACAGAGUCCUUCUGGCGUCCUAGGGGUUUGCUCACAUAUAAGGGACUUUCUGGUAGGAAGAGAGUCUCUUUACAUUCUUUAUUAUAUGAUCCUGGUGGCUUUGUAGAGAGAUGGUACAGCUGACAGAUCAUGUCCUGUGGGGCCAGGGAGUUGUGUGUGUGUGAAUGCUCUGUGAACUUGGGCAAACUACUUAGCCUCUCUGAGCCUUAGCUGCAUCAGCUUUGAAAAACAGGAUGAUAAAAUGGAGUCACCUUAUUUGACUUUUAUAAAUACACUUACACAAUUACACAAGUUGUGGGGAUGGGAAGAGAGAGUUGGGGAAAGAGAAAUGAGAGAGAGAGAGAGAGAGAAUGAAUGAUAAACAAUUUAAACAACAGUGGGGUGUAGACCAACGCCCAGCCUGGCAAGGGUGAGCCCAGAGAGCCUUCCCUCCUGGCUAUUGGCAGCCUCCGCAUGGAAGCCUGUCGUUGACUUCUUAAUGAUGAGAGAUGUUCUGGGGGCACUCCAGGAUUCUUGGACAUGGGAUCGUCUUCACAGCUGUGUCUAUUGAAAGCUGAAGUUUCAGUCUCCCCUGCCCCCUGCCCCCUGGAGUGGCUUCCCAGGGGAAAUUCAAGGGCACCUGUGACUGCAUGGCUGCUUUCCUUUCCUUUACUCAAUGCCGUCCUUUGGUGACAGCCGUGUCUCAUGCCAGGAUACAUGAGGUGCUCUAUAGUAGUAUGUUUUCCCUCCUGGGAGGUAAUUUUAUUUAAAUGUGAAGUCAAAAGGAUCACUAAAUAGAACCAUGAGGCAACCACUCUGGGCACCUGCCUGGUGAUAUCCACAAGAGCUGACCACAGGUGCCCCCUGUGCCCAGCAAGUCCUUGGCUGGGCAGUCACACAACAGGCAUGGGGAUGUGUGGCCACCAAGCCCUCCAGGGCAGUGCUAUUUGUAAUAGUCCCAAAUGGGAGAGAUGGCAAACGCCCGCCAAUGGGGCAGCAUGGAUAAAUGGAUGCUGCACAGCAACGGCGAUGAGUGAGCCCCAGCACCCGUGAGCUCACCAGUGUAAUAUUGGGUGGAAGAAGCCAGGAGGAAGGGCAUUCACAUUCUGUGAUUCCAGCUACACUAUGUUUAAAUAUGGGCAGAGCUAGGCUGUGGUGCUGGAAGCCAGGACAGUGGGAUCCUUGCAUGGGGGUGAUGGUGCUGGUAGGUUCUGGUAAUUUCCUCUUCUUGAUCUGGGUGUAAACAUUUUGUGAAAAUUCAAUGAGCUGUACAUUUAUGACUGGUA